GACGAACGCUGGCGGCGUGCUUAACACAUGCAAGUCGUACGGUAAGACCCGUUCCUGGGUACUCGAGUGGCGAACGGGGGAGUAACACGUGAGUAACCUUCCCACAACUUUGGGAUAACGCUAAGAAACUGGAACCAAUACUAGAAAUGGGCUCCUUCUGCAUGGGGGUGGUUGGAAAGUUCCGGCGGGUUUGGAUGUACUCGCUGCCUAUCGGCUUGCUGGUUGGGUAGUGUGCUACCAAGACGGCGAAGGGUAGCCGGCCUGAGUGGGUGACCGGCGAUCCUGGGACUGAGAGAAGGCCCAGACACCUACGGGAGGGAGAAGUGGGGAAUAUUGCAGAAUGGGCGCAAGCCUGAUGCAGAAACGCCGCGGGCGGGAUGACGGUCUUAGGGUUGAAAACCGCUUUCAGCAGGGACGAAGCUUUUUGUGACGGUACCUGCAGAAGAAGCAACGGCUAACUACGUG
rnacentral:rRNA from 1 species